rnacentral:rRNA from 1 species
GGGAUUGCCCUAGUAACGGCGAGUGAAGCGGCAACAGCUCAAAUUUGAAAUCUGGCCCUCGGGUCCGAGUUGUAAUUUGUAGAGGAUGCUUUUGGUGAGGUACCUUCCGAGUUCCCUGGAACGGGACGCCAUAGAGGGUGAGAGCCCCGUCUGGUUGGAUACCAAACCUCUGUAAAGCUCCUUCGACGAGUCGAGUAGUUUGGGAAUGCUGCUCUAAAUGGGAGGUAUAUGUCUUCUAAAGCUAAAUACCGGCCAGAGACCGAUAGCGCACAAGUAGAGUGAUCGAAAGAUGAAAAGCACUUUGAAAAGAGAGUUAAAAAGUACGUGAAAUUGUUGAAAGGGAAGCGCUUAUGACCAGACUUGGACUUGGUUGAUCAUCCUGGGUUCUCCCUGGUGCACUCUUCCAGUUCAGGCCAGCAUCAGUUCGCUGCGGGGGAUAAAAGUUUUGGGAAUGUGGCUCCCUCGGGAGUGUUAUAGCCCAUUUCAUAAUACCCUGCUCCGGACUGAGGUUCGCGCAUCUGCAAGGAUGCUGGCGUAAUGGUCAUCAGCGACCCGUCUUGAAACACGGACCAAGGAGUCGUCUUCGUAUGCGAGUGUUCGGGUGUUAAACCCCUACGCGUAAUGAAAGUGAACGCAGGUGAGAGCUUCGGCGCAUCAUCGACCGAUCCUGAUGUUCUCGGAUGGAUUUGAGUAAGAGCAUACGGGCCGGACCCGAAAGAAGGUGAACUAUGCCUGUAUAGGGUGAAGCCAGAGGAAACUCUGGUGGAGGCUCGCAGCGGUUCUGACGUGCAAUCGAUCGUCAAAUAUGGGCAUGGGGGCGAAAGACUAAUCGAACCUUUCUAGUAGCUGGUUUCCGCCGAAG